AAGGGAGACCUAAUUCAGGUAGGAGACGAAAAAAAAGUAGUCCCAACCAAGAAUCAAUCCCAAAAGGUCGGAGCGAGGCGAAAUUGGCUUUCAAACUAGGUUCUGGGUUCACACAAGACCUGAAUCAGGAACAAGGGCUAUUAGCUCAGGUAGUUAGAGCGCACCCCUGAUAAGGGUGAGGUCCCUGGUUCGAGUCCAGGAUGGCCCACCUGUACAGGUGGAAGAAAGAAAAGAAGCUCCGAAUCAGCACCUUAUCUUACUUAUAUAGUAAGAGAGAAUGCUGGCUCUGAGUUCAGAGUCCAGAGGAACCUUGAAAACUGCAUAGAGCUAGGUGAAAAAGCCAAAAAAGAAGACCGCCA
rnacentral:tRNA from 1 species